GAUGAACGCUGACGGAAUGCUUAACACAUGCAAGUCAACUUGAAUUUGGGUUUUUAACUUAGAUUUGGGUGGCGGACGGGUGAGUAACGCGUAAAGAACUUGCCUCACAGCUAGGGACAACAUUUAGAAAUGAAUGCUAAUACCUGAUAUUAUGAUUUUAAGGCAUCUUAGAAUUAUGAAAGCUAUAAGCACUGUGAGAGAGCUUUGCGUCCCAUUAGCUAGUUGGAGAGGUAACAGCUCACCAAAGCGAUGAUGGGUAGCCGGCCUGAGAGGGUGAACGGCCACAAGGGGACUGAGACACGGCCCUUACUCCUACGGGAGGCAGCAGUGGGGAAUAUUGGACAAUGGACCGAGAGUCUGAUCCAGCAAUUCUGUGUGCACGAUGAAGUUUUUCGGAAUGUAAAGUGCUUUCAGUUGGGAAGAAAGGAAUGACGGUACCAACAGAAGAAGUGACGGCUAAAUACGUGCCAGCAGCCGCGGUAAUACGUAUGUCACGAGCGUUAUCCGGAUUUAUUGGGCGUAAAGCGCGUCUAGGUGGUUAUGUAAGUCUGAUGUGAAAAUGCAGGGCUCAACUCUGUAUUGCGUUGGAAACUGUAUAACUAGAGUACUGGAGAGGUAAGCGGAACUACAAGUGUAGAGGUGAAAUUCGUAGAUAUUUGUAGGAAUGCCGAUGGGGAAGCCAGCUUACUGGACAGAUACUGACGCUAAAGCGCGAAAGCGUGGGUAGCAAACAGG
rnacentral:rRNA from 1 species